AUGGUAACUUCAAUGGCUCGAGGUCUCACCAUUGUAGUAUUCUUGCUAGUGUUUGUUGCAGCGACGAUAUCAUCUACCUAUGCGGUGAAACUCCAGGCGGACGAUUCCCCUAAUGUGGCCGAGGGGCCCGCCGACACUUCUUCUGAGGCUGAGGGGCCCGCCGACAAUUCUUCUGAGGCUGAGGGGCCCGAUGGCCCUGCUUUCGUCGAGAUGGUUAUUAAGAACCCCUACCCAGCUUCCAGCCUUAACUCACGCUCUGAUGGCCUCCCGGUUGACCCAACACCAGAUGGGCUCCCUGUUGAUCCCACACCAGACGGCCAAUUUAAAUAA
rnacentral:rRNA from 1 species